CCUGCACUGCAAGCCUUUUGAACAGAAACAUAUCAGUUCUCAGUUAUUACAGGAUUUAACUAACUUCUCAUUUCUGCUUUGGCCAUGAAAUGUUUUCAUUCAUUUCUAUACCUGUUUGGGAAGAAAGCUUAUAGCUGUCCUUCAGUGCCUCAUGGCAUCAAUUCUUCUGCAGAAAGAGAGAGUUUAUGAGAGCAGAUACACAGAAGAUAAAUAGAGACCAUGUCCUUGUAAUGAUGGCAACUGUUAACGGAGUGGAAGAAGGUUCAUUCUGGUGUCCUCAGAGAACAAGAAGCCAACAGCUGGUUGGCUUCAUUCAGCACAAUGCAGAACACACUCAUCCGACCCUUACUAACAAAGAAGACUCUGAGUCAGAACACUGCAACAAAAGAAAGGAGAGCUGUUCACAAGAAAACUCUCUGAAAUUUAAAAAUAGGGAUCAAGCUCUUUCCAAUCCCUUAUUCUCAUAAGUACCAGAAGCAAUGUAAAACAG
rnacentral:lncRNA from 1 species